GUACGUUAUAUGUCAACAGUCCCGUUCACCUGGACCAUAACUGACCAAAUGAAUCCUAGGGUGGAGAUAUAAUCAGCAAUAGGGCUGUGUUUUGGGAUUUCUUAAUGCAUUUUGGACCUUGGCUUGAUCUGACGGUUACUGACCAAAUUUCAUUUGGUCAGUUAUGGUCAGGUGAACGGGACUGUAUAUGUCAAACAGUUGAUGUAU
rnacentral:pre_miRNA from 1 species